rnacentral:rRNA from 1 species
GACGAACGCUGGCGGCGUGCCUAAUACAUGCAAGUCGAACGCUUCUUUCCUCCCGAGUGCUUGCACUCAAUUGGAAAGAGGAGUGGCGGACGGGUGAGUAACACGUGGGUAACCUACCCAUCAGAGGGGGAUAACACUUGGAAACAGGUGCUAAUACCGCAUAACAGUUUAUGCCGCAUGGCAUAAGAGUGAAAGGCGCUUUCGGGUGUCGCUGAUGGAUGGACCCGCGGUGCAUUAGCUAGUUGGUGAGGUAACGGCUCACCAAGGCCACGAUGCAUAGCCGACCUGAGGGGGUGAUCGGCCACACGGGGACUGAGACACGGCCCAGACUCCUACGGGAGGCAGCAGUAGGGAAUCUUCGGAAAUGGACGAAAGUCUGACCGAGCAACGCCGCGGGAGUGAAGAAGGUUUUCGGAUCGUAAAACUCUGUUGUUAGAGAAGAACAAGGACGUUAGUAACUGAACGUCCCCUGGCGGUAUCUAACCAGAAAGCCACGGCUAACUACGUG